rnacentral:rRNA from 1 species
UACGUAGGGUGCGAGCGUUAAUCGGAAUUACUGGGCGUAAAGCGUGCGCAGGCGGUUUUGUAAGACAGGUGUGAAAUCCCCGGGCUUAACCUGGGAACUGCGCUUGUGACUGCAAGACUCGAGUACGGCAGAGGGGGGUAGAAUUCCACGUGUAGCAGUGAAAUGCGUAGAGAUGUGGAGGAAUACCGAUGGCGAAGGCAGCCCCCUGGGCUAACACUGACGCUCAGGCACGAAAGCGUGGGGAGCAAACAGG